rnacentral:rRNA from 1 species
CCUACGGGAGGCAGCAGUGGGGAAUAUUGGACAAUGGGCGAAAGCCUGAUCCAGCCAUGCCGCGUGUGUGAAGAAGGCCUUCGGGUUGUAAAGCACUUUCAGUGGGGAAGAAAGCCUUGGGGCUAAUACCCUCGAGGAAGGACAUCACCAACAGAAGAAGCACCGGCUAACUCCGUGCCAGCAGCCGCGGUAAUACGGAGGGUGCGAGCGUUAAUCGGAAUUACUGGGCGUAAAGCGCGCGUAGGCGGUCUGAUAAGCCGGUUGUGAAAGCCCCGGGCUCAACCUGGGAACGGCAUCCGGAACUGUCAGGCUAGAGUGCAGGAGAGGAAGGUAGAAUUCCCGGUGUAGCGGUGAAAUGCGUAGAGAUCGGGAGGAAUACCAGUGGCGAAGGCGGCCUUCUGGACUGACACUGACGCUGAGGUGCGAAAGCGUGGGUAGCAAACAGGAUUAGAUACCCCAGUAGUC